rnacentral:rRNA from 1 species
GAUGAACGCUAGCGGCAGGCUUAAUACAUGCAAGUCGAGGGACAGCACAGGUAGCAAUACUGGGUGGUAACCGGCAAACGGGUGCGGAACACGUACACAACCUUCCUUUAAGUGGGGGAUAGCCCAGAGAAAUUUGGAUUAAUACCCCGUAAUAUAGUUGAAUGGCAUCAUUUGAUUAUUAUAGCUACGGCGCUUAAUGAUGGGUGUGCGGCUGAUUAGAUAGUUGGCGGGGUAACGGCCCACCAAGUCUACGAUCAGUAGCUGAUGUGAGAGCAUGAUCAGCCACACGGGCACUGAGACACGGGCCCGACUCCUACGGGAGGCAGCAGUAAGGAAUAUUGGUCAAUGGACGCAAGUCUGAACCAGCCAUGCCGCGUGAAGGAUUAAGGUCCUCUGGAUUGUAAACUUCUUUUAUUUGGGACGAAAAAGGGUCUUUCUAGAUCAACUGACGGUACCAGAUGAAUAAGCACCGGCUAACUCCGUGCCAGCCGCCGCCGUAAAAC